UGUAUACGGUUGUACAUAAAAUGUUUUUCCAUCAUAAUAAUUUAACUGUGAAUCGCUAAAAAUCCGCAAGUCAGUGGCCACUGAACGCUUCCGUUUCUCAGAGACGAUGCAAGCAACACUUAUAACUCCGUUUCUACGGUAGUUAUUACAUGCAGUUAAUUUUUUCGCUGUUAACGCAGUUCCUAAUUUGAACAUUCCGUUGUGAAACUGAUUAUGUUUCUGAAUAAUGGAGAAAGCUGCAAGUUUUUUAAAUGCACAUAUAAUGCGGGAAGACGUUUGGAACAGGGAGAGGAUUCGCGCCUGUGACCGUUUACAAGAUUCUUGGAUCAAACAGACAAUUAACCAGUCGGUGAGGGUGCAGGACAACGAGCAAUCAGAAAAACACACAAAGGCAGGUACAAGAACAGGCAACAGGUGGAUCACAAGACACAGA